rnacentral:lncRNA from 1 species
GAGUAUAGUUGCCUUAAAACACAACCACUUCUUAUUCCUCCUGAAUCUAUAGGCCGGCUGGCCGGUUCCGCUGGUUGGAGUUGGCAUGUCCACAGGGUAGGCUGUGUGACCUUCCCCUUGGGCUGGGCGCUGAGGCUUCGGCAGAGGGCUCCUCUCUGGCCUUCUGCUCUCUCCCCACCUCGGAGGCCCAUUCCCAGGGUUGCAGAGCUUUGCGUGCUAAGUUGCUUCAGUAGCGUCCAACUCUUUGCAGCCCUAUGGACUAUGGCCCGCCAGGCUCCUUUGUCCAAGGGAUUCUCCAGGCAAGAGUACUGGAGUGGGUGGCUGUGCCCUCCUCCAGGGCAUCUUCCCGACCCAGUGGUUGAUCCUGCAUCUCUUAUGUCUCCUGCAUUGGCAGGCAGGAUCUUUACCACUAGCACCAGCUGGGAAGCCCCAGCACCUUGAGAGGGAGCAGACAUGCACGGGACCCUUAAGGCCCAGGCUCAGACGAGCAUGGAGUGGUUUAUGCCAUAUUCUACUGGCCAAAACCAGUCAUAGGCCACUGCUGAUUCGUGGUGGAAAGUCACAUUGCGGAUACACGGACACAGGGAGGGUGAAGAAGGCUGGCCAGGUGUCACUGGUCUGCCGCUGCGCCCCGGGGAGACGGAGGGGCCCAGUCCCCGGGUCAGGACGCCCAGCUUGGCGGUGUCGGGCACUGCUUACCACUCAUCGCUUGGCCGGACACCUCUGGGGACCCCUGUGACCCUGCCUGAUGCUAAUGCCUCCCUCAGGCUGGAGGCGUCAUCUGAACCAGGCCAGCUCAGGAGCUGGAUUAGAAAUGUGAGUCUUGGCGUCAGCAUCAGCUGCCGAGUUCACCUGAGAUGCGCUGAGUGCAGGAGCUGCGGCUGGUUGCCGGGUGCACGGAGGAGUGGAGAAGACGGGCUGAGAAGGGAGUGAAGGCCGCGGGGGCACGCCGAGCGGGAGGACGGCGAGGCAGGGAGGGCCGUCCGGCUGCGGAGGGCCCGCGCCUCCAGCCUGUCCUUCCAGCGCCGUUUCUUCCGGGCCAGGGUGCGCUCCACUCCCCACCCGGCCACCGUACCUCCCGCACCCUCUAUGCUCAGGGAGCCGCAAAGCUCCUUCAGAUCCAGAUCGGAAUCCACGGCGGUGUCAGCCUGCGGUGUGAGCGGAGGCUUCCCCGCAGGAGCCCCAGCGCCAGCCCUGCGUGGCAGGCAGGACAGCCCCCCGCUGGACGCCCACCUCCUACUCUCCCAAACCUGAGACUCGGGUCACGCUGCAACAGGAGCUACGGCGGAAGGUGGACCCAGUGGCUGAGAUGGGAAACGACCCUGGAUUAUCCCGGCGGCUCCAGUGUGAUUGGAAGGAAACCUCACGGUGGAGGGGGGACGGGAGAGCCAGUGUCUGUGACUCAGCGUGAGAGAGGCCAUCGCUGGCUGUGGACGGACGGAGGGGCCGUGAGCCAAGGAAUGCGGGUGGUCUCCAGAAGGUGGGAAAGGCAGGAAGCGGGUUCUCCCCCCCUGGAGCCUCUGGAAGGACGCAGCGCUGCUGACAUGUCAACCACAGCCUCGGGAGACCCCUGUGGACCCCUGACCCCCAGACUGUAGGGUAAUAAAUGUGUGUUGUUUUAAGCCA